rnacentral:rRNA from 1 species
AUUGAACGCUGGCGGCAUGCCUUACACAUGCAAGUCGAACGGCAGCACGGGAGCAAUCCUGGUGGCGAGUGGCGAACGGGUGAGUAAAGUAUCGGAACGUGCCCAGUCGUGGGGGAUAACGUAGCGAAAGUUACGCUAAUACCGCAUACGAUCUAUGGAUGAAAGCGGGGGAUCGCAAGACCUCGCGCGAUUGGAGCGGCCGAUAUCAGAUUAGGUAGUUGGUGGGGUAAAGGCUCACCAAGCCGACGAUCUGUAGCUGGUCUGAGAGGACGACCAGCCACACUGGGACUGAGACACGGCGCAGACUCCUACGGGAGGGAGCAGUGGGGAAUUUUGGACAACGGGCGAAAGCCUGAUCCAGCCAUGCCGCGUGAAGGAUGAAGGCCUUCGGGUUGUAAACUGCUUUUGUACGGAACGAAAAGGUUUGGCCUAAUAAGCUGAGCUCAUGACGGUACCGUAAGAGUAAGCACCGGCUAACUACGUGCCAGCCGCCGCAGUAA